UACGUAGGGGGCUAGCGUUGUCCGGAUUUACUGGGCGUAAAGCGUGCGCAGGCGGUUCGCUGUGUCCGAUGUGAAAGCCCCGGGCUUAACCUGGGAAUGGCAUUGGAAACUGGCGGGCUUGAGUGCGGCAGAGGGGGGUGGAAUUCCGCGUGUAGCAGUGAAAUGCGUAGAGAUGCGGAGGAACACCGAUGGCGAAGGCAGCCCCCUGGGUCGACACUGACGCUCAGGCACGAAAGCGUGGGGAGCAAACAGG
rnacentral:rRNA from 1 species